rnacentral:rRNA from 1 species
GGGUGAGUAAUAUAUCGGAACGUGCCCCAGUCGUGGGGGAUAACUGCUCGAAAGAGCAGCUAAUACCGCAUACGACCUGAGGGUGAAAGCGGGGGAUCGCAAGACCUCGCGCGACUGGAGCGGCCGAUAUCAGAUUAGGUAGUUGGUGGGGUAAAGGCUCACCAAGCCAACGAUCUGUAGCUGGUCUGAGAGGACGACCAGCCACACUGGGACUGAGACACGGCCCAGACUCCUACGGGAGGCAGCAGUGGGGAAUUUUGGACAAUGGGCGCAAGCCUGAUCCAGCCAUGCCGCGUGCGGGAAGAAGGCCUUCGGGUUGUAAACCGCUUUUGUCAGGGAAGAAACGGCUUUUUCUAAUACAGAGAGCUAAUGACGGUACCUGAAGAAUAAGCACCGGCUAACUACGUGCCAGCAGCCGCGGUAAUACGUAGGGUGCAAGCGUUAAUCGGAAUUACUGGGCGUAAAGCGUGCGCAGGCGGUUAUGCAAGACAGAUGUGAAAUCCCCGGGCUCAACCUGGGAACUGCAUUUGUGACUGCAUAGCUAGAGUACGGUAGAGGGGGAUGGAAUUCCGCGUGUAGCAGUGAAAUGGGAGUUUGAUCCUGGCUCAGGGUCAGCUUAACGCGUGAAGUUGACC